rnacentral:rRNA from 1 species
CCAGACAGCCAGGAUGUUGGCUUAGAAGCAGCCAUCAUUUAAAGAAAGCGUAAUAGCUCACUGGUCGAGUCGGCCUGCGCGGAAGAUGUAACGGGGCUAAACCAUGCACCGAAGCUGCGGCAGCGACACUAUGUGUUGUUGGGUAGGGGAGCGUUCUGUAAGCCUGUGAAGGUGUGUCGUGAGGCAUGCUGGAGGUAUCAGAAGUGCGAAUGCUGACAUAAGUAACGAUAAAGCGGGUGAAAAGCCCGCUCGCCGGAAGACCAA